GCAGUUGUGGCCUAAUGGUUAGGGCGUCAGCCUUGUAACGCGAAGGUUGUAGGUUCGAGUCUCAGGUCUGGCA